rnacentral:rRNA from 1 species
UACGAAGGGGGCUAGCGUUGCUCGGAAUCACUGGGCGUAAAGGGUGCGUAGGCGGGUUUUUAAGUCAGGGGUGAAAUCCUGGAGCUCAACUCCAGAACUGCCUUUGAUACUGAAGAUCUUGAGUCCGGGAGAGGUGAGUGGAACUGCGAGUGUAGAGGUGAAAUUCGUAGAUAUUCGCAAGAACACCAGUGGCGAAGGCGGCUCACUGGCCCGGUACUGACGCUGAGGCGCGAAAGCGUGGGGAGCGAACAGG